UGGGGAAUAUUGCACAAUGGGCGCAAGCCUGAUGCAGCCAUGCCGCGUGUAUGAAGAAGGCCUUCGGGUUGUAAAGUACUUUCAGUCGGGAGGAAGGUGUCAAGGUUAAUAACCUUGGCAAUUGACGUUACCGACAGAAGAAGCACCGGCUAACUCCGUGCCAGCAGCCGCGGUAAUACGGAGGGUGCAAGCGUUAAUCGGAAUUACUGGGCGUAAAGCGCACGCAGGCGGUCUGUCAAGUCGGAUGUGAAAUCCCCGGGCUCAACCUGGGAACGGCAUUCGAAACUGGCAGGCUAGAGUCUUGUAGAGGGGGGUAGAAUUCCAGGUGUAGCGGUGAAAUGCGUAGAGAUCUGGAGGAAUACCGGUGGCGAAGGCGGCCCCCUGGACAAAGACGGACGCUCAGGUGCGAAAGCGUGGGAGCAAACAGG
rnacentral:rRNA from 1 species